rnacentral:rRNA from 2 species
UAAGCAUAUCAAUAAGCGGAGGAAAAGAAACCAACAGGGAUUGCCUCAGUAACGGCGAGUGAAGCGGCAACAGCUCAAAUUUGAAAUCUGGCCCCCCUCGGGGGCCCGAGUUGUAAUUUGGAGAGGAUGUUUCUGGCGCGGCGCCUACCGGAGUUCCUUGGAACAGGACGCCACAGAGGGUGAGAGCCCCGUACGGUGGGACGCCUAGCCGCAACGAAACUCCUUCGACGAGUCGAGUAGUUUGGGAAUGCUGCUCAAAAUGGGAGGUAAAUUUCUUCUAAAGCUAAAUACCGGCCAGAGACCGAUAGCGCACAAGUAGAGUGAUCGAAAGAUGAAAAGCACCUUGAAAAGAGGGUUAAACAGUACGUGAAAUUGUUGAAAGGGAAGCGCCUGCGACCAGACUCGCGCCCCGCGGACCAGCCGGCGUUCUCGCCGGUGCACUCCGCGGGGUGCGGGCCAGCAUCGGUUUUCCCUGGGGGAGAAAGGCCGCGGGAACGUAGCUCCCUCGGGAGUGUUAUAGCCCGUGGCGUCAUGCCCCAGGGGGGACCGAGGACCGCGCU